UACAGAGGUCUCAAGCGUUGUUCGGAUUCAUUGGGCGUAAAGGGUGCGUAGGCGGCGCGGUAAGUCGGGGUGUGAAAUCUCGGAGCUUAACUCCGAAACUGCAUUCGAUACUGCCGUGCUUGAGGACUGGAGAGGAGACUGGAAUUUACGGUGUAGCGGUGAAAUGCGUAGAUAUCGUAAGGAAGACCAGUGGCGAAGGCGGAUCU
rnacentral:rRNA from 1 species